UCAAAAGAUAUAAGGUUAAGUAUUGUUGUUCUGUAUUUUGAGCGGGUUAAGCACUACCCUAUCGAGAGAAACUACUUGAGGUUAAACAUUGUCCUUAAAAAGUUAAUCGGGUUAACCGCUACUCUCUCUUAAAAUUCAUCCGAACUAAGCAUUGUUUUGGAAACUCGAUGCAGUUAAGCACUACUCUAUCAAAAACUCUCUAAGGCUAAGCAUUGUCCUUGGAAAUUUAAGUGGGUUAAGAAUUAUCCUCUUUCGAGAAUCUAACUAAGGCUAAGAACUGUCCUUGAAAGCUAGUUGGGUUAAGCACUACCCUCUCUCAAAAUUCAUCCGAACUAAGCACUAUUUUGGAAACUUGAUGGAGUUAAGCACUACUCUAUCAAAAAAUCUCUAAGGCUAAGCAUUGCCCUUGGAAAUUUAAGUGGGUUAAGCACUACCCUCUUUCAAGAAACUGACUAAGGCUAAGCACUGUCCUUAAAAGUUAGUUGGGUUAUGCACUACCCUCUCUCGGGAAAUUGUCUGAAGCUAAGCAUUUCCCUCUGGAAGUUGAUGAAGUUACUGAAAGAUGAAUAUUAUUUUCUAAUACUGAACAUGCUAUGCACAACUGCCUCGACAUUAUUAAAUGCUACUACUUUACUGGACAUUGUAUGGAUUAAGCACCAUCUAUUCAAAUCUAUACUAACAAAGCACUGCGAUCUCAUGAUAGAUACGUUUUCUUAUCUCUUCUUAUCCUCUUGUUAUGGUUAUUUUUACUAUAUUGCUCAAAUCUUUUAUACAUACAUAUAUAUCUGUGUUAAUCAUUUUAUCCAGUUGAGCUAAAAAUAGCAGGACUAACAGGUAUACUUAUAUCGAGAAGCCAAAUAGCUGAUCUAACAUUGAGAGGUUCAAUAGCCGAUCUAAUGUUAUAUCAAGAAGCCAAAUAGCUGAUCCAACAUCGAGAGGUUCAAAAACCAAUCCAACGUUAUAUCGAGAAGCCAAACAACUGAUCCAACAUCAAGAGGUUCAACAGUCGAUCCAACGUUAUAUCGAUAAACCAAAUAGCUAAUCCAACAUUGAGAGGUUCAAUAGCCGAUCCAACGUUAUAUCGAGAAGCCAAACAGCUAAUCCAAUAUCGAAAGGUUCAGCCAAUCCAACGUCAUAUCGAGAAGCCAAACAGAUGAUCCAACAUUGAGAGGUUCAACGUCUAAUCCAACGUCAUAUUGAGAGGCCAGACAGCUGAUCCAACGCUAUGAUACAAUGUCAUCCAACUGUACAACAGAUACACUUUCUUUACUUCUUACAUUCACUGUAUAUUUUAAAUGCUUAUCAUUUACAUGGCUUAACUUUGGUUAUCAAGUAUACCAUGAAGUAUGCAGACGAUGGAGAAGGAAUAAUAAACAGAGA
rnacentral:lncRNA from 1 species